rnacentral:rRNA from 1 species
UGGGGAAUAUUGCACAAUGGGCGCAAGCCUGAUGCAGCGACGCCGCGUGGGGGAUGACGGCCUUCGGGUUGUAAACUCCUUUCGCUAGGGACGAAGCUGUUUGUGACGGUACCUAGAUAAGAAGCACCGGCUAACUACGUGCCAGCAGCCGCGGUAAUACGUAGGGUGCGAGCGUUGUCCGGAAUUACUGGGCGUAAAGGGCUCGUAGGUGGUUUGUCGCGUCGUCUGUGAAAUUCCGGGGCUUAACUCCGGGCGUGCAGGCGAUACGGGCAUAACUUGAGUACUUUAGGGGUAACUGGAAUUCCUGGUGUAGCGGUGAAAUGCGCAGAUAUCAGGAGGAACACCGAUGGCGAAGGCAGGUUACUGGGCAGUUACUGACGCUGAGGAGCGAAAGCAUGGGUAGCGAACAGG